AAGUGCGAAUGCUGACAUAAGUAACGAUAAAACGGGUGAAAAACCCGUUCGCCGGAAGACCAAGGGUUCCUGUCCAACGUUAAUCGGGGCAGGGUGAGUCGGCUCCUAAGGCGAGGCUGAAAAGCGUAGUCGAUGGGAAACAGGUUAAUAUUCCUGUACUUGGUAAAGCUGCGAUGUGGGGACGGAGUAGGUUAGGUUAUCGCACUGUUGGAUAUGUGCGUUUAAGUUGGUAGGUGGGAAGUUUAGGCAAAUCCGGACUUCCUUAACACAGAGAGAUGAUGACGAGGCUCUACGGAGCUGAAGUAACUGAUACCACACUUCCAGGAAAAGCCACUAAGCGAAAGGCUUUACUAAACCGUACUGAAAACCGACACAGGUGGUCAGGUAGAGAAUACUCAGGCGCUUGAGAGAACUCGGGUGAAGGAACUAGGCAAAAUAGCACCGUAACUUCGGGAGAAGGUGCGCCGGCGUAGAUUGUAAGGGCUAGCCCCUGAAGGUUGAACCGGUCGAAGAUACCAGCUGGCUGCAACUGUUUAUUAAAAACACAGCACUCUGCAAACACGAAAGUGGAGGUAUAGGGUGUGAUGCCUGCCCGGUGCUGGAAGGUUAAUUGAUGGUGUAAUCGCAAGAGAAGCACCUGAUCGAAGCCCCAGUAAACGGCGGCCGUAACUAUAACGGUCCUAAGGUAGCGAAAUUCCUUGUCGGGUAAGUUCCGACCUGCACGAAUGGCAUAAUGAUGGCCAGGCUGUCUCCACCCGAGACUCAGUGAAAUUGAAAUCGCCGUGAAGAUGCGGUGUACCCGCGGCUAGACGGAAAGACCCCGUGAACCUUUACUAUAGCUUGACACUGAACAUUGAAUUUUGAUGUGUAGGAUAGGUGGGAGACUUAGAAGCAGUCACGCCAGUGAUUGUGGAGUCGACCUUGAAAUACCACCCUUUAACGUUUGAUGUUCUAACGAAGAUGACGAAACGUGGUCUCGGACAGUGUCUGGUGGGUAGUUUGACUGGGGCGGUCUCCUCCCAAAGCGUAACGGAGGAGCACGAAGGUUUGCUAAUGACGGUCGGACAUCGUCAGGUUAGUGCAAUGGUAUAAGCAAGCUUAACUGCGAGACAGACAAGUCGAGCAGGUACGAAAGUAGGUCAUAGUGAUCCGGUGGUUCUGAAUGGAAGGGCCAUCGCUCAACGGAUAAAAGGUACUCCGGGGAUAACAGGCUGAUACCGCCCAAGAGUUCAUAUCGACGGCGGUGUUUGGCACCUCGAUGUCGGCUCAUCACAUCCUGGGGCUGAAGUAGGUCCCAAGGGUAUGGCUGUUCGCCAUUUAAAGUGGUACGCGAGCUGGGUUUAGAACGUCGUGAGACAGUUCGGUCCCUAUCUGCCGUGGGCGUAGGA
rnacentral:rRNA from 1 species